UUUCGUUUUUUUUCUUGUCCUAUCAGUUGAUUUGUUUUCUUAUCGGGCCCGCUCAAUUUCCGGGGAGACCCGUUUGCGUUUUCUCUCGCUUCGGCCCCGCGUCGUGCCUCUGUCCCAUCCCCUCCCGUGUCGAGAGAGACAGAGAGAAAGAGAUCCAUGGCGACUGAGCUGCCCUGUCCGCUUGAUUCAGAAGGGUGGUUGUCAGGCGUCCGGCGCUCUUCCUCCGGCUGCCCCGCCACCUCCUUCUCCUUCGCCUUUUCCCCCGCUAGAGGUCUGCAACAUCUCUCGGUUCCGCCCCAUCGCCGGCCCCAUUUUUCUCCGCCCGGCGUUUCUGUGCGUCGUAUUCGGUAUGUAGCUUGAUCCUCAAGUCUGAUUUGGUAGUGUGUAGGGAUUUGUCAGUCAGAUCUGCUACUUAUCCCCCUUUGGAUCUCGCAUGUGGUAAUCCCCCGCAGCUAUUUUGAUGCAGAUGCCUUGUUGCGUUUGUUAGUGGUAUUGAAUCUCAUCUGUCUUGUGUGCUAUGUUAGGGAUUACCUUGUAGGUUUUAUUUGAUCUGUUUCAGUUAGUAGUUGGAAUUCUGGUGGUUGUCGUGGGCAGCUGCUAAUUUCGUAUAUGCUGGAUCGUGUUUCAGUGACUCUAGUGCCCUGCUCACCUUGGAUUCUCUAGUGUUUUUGUUUGUGGCUAUAGGUUAUAUAUCCCCUGGGUCGUUUGUUGAUGUAGGUUUAUAUGUAGUGUUUUUUGCGAUUUUGCUUGUAUAGCUAGUCAACAAGCUUAUGUUGUCGUAUGUAGUGUGUUUCGCUUGCAGACUUCAGCUCUGUUCUUUGUGUUUCUGUGAGACAGAAUGUCCUUUUCAUUUUCAGCUAUGUAAAUGUCUGAUUGCUCUACUAGAAAUCCCUGUUUUCUUAGUGGAUUUACAGUGUGUUUUCUUACUGUUUAACACUGUAAUUCUCAGUGGAUUUACAGUGUAAUUUCUUAGCAGAUUUAUACUGUACUUUUAAGUGAAUUUACACUGUAUUUUUUAGUGAGUUUACACUGUAAUUUUCAGUGGAUUUAUAUUGUAUGUUUAUUGGAUUUAUACUGUAAUUUGCAGUGGAUCUACAAUGUAGUUCUUAGUGAAUUUACUCUGUAGUUUUUAGUUGAUCUUUCAUUGUAAUCCUAUAAGAAUUACACUAUAUCUCUUGAUUUUUACAGUGUAAUUCUUAGUGGAGUUACACUGUAAUCCUUAGUGUCUUUAUAGUGACUAUUAGUUUUUCUUGGAUUUACCUUGUAUUUGCACUGUAACUCUUGAUUUUUACAGUGUAAUUUUCAGUGUAUUUACUCUGUAAUUCUUAGUGUAUUUUGGCUAGGGUCUGUUAGUGGGUUUUUACCCUUGUAAUCUGCAUUUGACUAGGGACUAUUAUGUGGAUUAUUCAUGUAUUAUCUUUAGUGGAUUUUAUAGUGUAAUUCUUAUUGGAUUUGCAGUGUAAUUCUCAGUGGGCUUACAGACACUGUAAUAUUUCAGUGGAUUCUACCCUUAGUGAAUUUGACUAGGGCUGUUAGUUGGUUUUUACCCUUGUACUCUGCAGUUGAGUAGGGUCUAUUAUGUGGAUUUUUUGGUCUGAGCAUUUUUCAGGUUGCAAAAGUCUCUUGCUCUUGAAUCUACGAAGAAAGCAUCAAAUGAUUCGUCAGUUAGUAAAUCUGCUGGUAAUGUUUUGUCAAACGAGGGUACAAAGGAUGGUCCAAAUUUGGUUUCUUGUGUGUACUAUGUAGUAUCAGUGCUUAGUUUUUUUAGUUCAGUGUGAUCUUCAUAGUAAUUACAUUUAAAAGAUCAUAGUAAUUCUAAGUUCAAGUGGCAGUAAUUUGUUGUUUUAUACAGUUCCAAAGUUUCUAAUAUUCAAUCAUAGUUUCAUUUUGGAUUCUGAGCAGGAACAAAUUGGUUUCUCUAUAUAAUACACUGUAUUUUACACUGUAGUUCCAGUGGUCUAGCACUAGAAUUACAAUUUGCUUACACUGUAAUUCCAGUGGUCUAGCGAUGUAAUUUAAAAUGUAAUUACAAAGGAUUUUUCACCCUGGUCCACUACUGUGAUUUCUAUUGCUUACCACUGAAAUUUUAAUGGUCUAGUACUGUAAUUAUAGUUUGUCUGCCACUGUAAAUUUCUUAUCUGCCAGUGUAAUUUAGUUUGACAGGUUCUUUUUCUGCUCCUCUGUAACCAGUGUAAAAACACUUGUUAGAUUUUGCUAUUGUGUAUGAUCUGCUCAUCUGUGUAUGUUGUACUCCCUCUGUAAAGAAAUAUAAAGGCGUUUAGAUCACUACUUUAGUGAUCUAAACGCUCUUAUAUUUCAUUAUGGAGAGAGUAACAUUCAGUGCACUAGUGAAUGCUAGUUCUUAUUGCUUUUUCUGGUGAUCUCUGGAUUUUAAGUUUAUAACGAGAGUGCUCUGUGGAUUGUGAUCUGCUCUUUUGCUUUGGUAGCAACCUGUUGCUGCUCAAAGUAGAACAAUAUUUUUUGCAUUAGCUCCGAUUUUUUUUGCAGGAUUUCUUUCCCUGUCAUCUUAUAUGUAAAUUUCACAGUGAUAGUACCUUGUACAUCAUUUGCGCUUGAAGUAGUUGAGUAAAAGUGUAUGCCCGACUCUGUUAUUUUGUCAAGAAUCAAGUUAGAAAAGGAUAAUUGAAUAUGUUUGUUCAUUUUUUCAGUUUCUAAUGCUACAAUAAAGUCAUACAUUAAGAAAAUCAGCUUGGUCAUGUUCGAGUUACAGCUCCUCCACUUUCAUGCUAGAUUCCAUUCCCUUUGAUCCCAUUGCAGGCACCUGUGCAUAUUAUUUAAAAAAAAGUAUAAGUAGUGAAUCGUUAUUGAAUAAACAGAACUAUCUACAUUGUUUGUGCCAAUAGUAUUAGUGCGUAGCCUGAUAUUUUUCCAUUUUUUUUAUCUGAUCAUUGUCCUAAAUCAUAUGUAAUGAUCAUUUUAGUUUCAGUGUGUACUCAUUCAAAAUUACAAGUAAAAGGUCAUAGCAUUUCGAGCUUCAAGUACAAAUAAAAGGUAUUUGUAUACAAUUCCAAAGUUUAUAAAAUUCUGUCAUAGAUUCAUUGCUUUUCUUCAGGAGUAAAUUUGUAAACUCAUCAUAGUUUCUGAUUAGUGUACAUUUCUUUGUGAGUGCAAAAGUAUCUGAAAAUAUAGUCAUAGCUUUCUGAAAAUACAUUAUUCCUAGACUUUUUUGUUCAAGCAUUUUUUUCCUAAAUGAUUUCAUAUCUUCCUGAACAUGCUGCCCUUAAUCCUUUUUUUCUUUUGACCAUGUGUUGUAAAUGAAUUCAUAAACUUGCAAGUAGUUUCUCUGUUCCUGUCUCCCUAGACUACUUUGGUCUAGUAUUCUUCCUGGUUCUAGUGUUCUUUUUGUGACACAUAAGUACAGUUCCAGAGCUCAACUUUUGGUCCCUGCAGCAAGUAAGUGAGGAUUUGAACUGUGUUAUAUUUUCUUACAGUUUUAGUAAGUUUUUUUUUCAUGAUUAUCCUGCCUAUGAUCUUAGAUUUGGUUUGUAAAUCUGAUGUGUUUCUUCAGCUAUGUAAUGAUCCACACACUGUUGUUUCUUUCAGAUGUACACGUUCACGAGAGAGAUCUAUUUUACUCAUGCUAGAUGUAUGGGGAAUUCAAAAGAAGGGGAUGUUUACCUGUGAAUCCUUUGCUUCUUCAGCCAUGUUCUUCUUCAAGCUUGUGUCCCAGAACAUGGAGGAAUCGUCAUCACUUUGUUGCUUUUCUGUCCGGGUUAGAGAAGGAGGGGGUGGACCCGUUAAGUUUCUGUUUGAUAUAUGUGGUUUGUUUAAACGAGUGAGACAGGAAAAGGUACAUACAGGGGACAAGGUACAGAAGGCAGUUGUCGCAUUACUAGUUAGCUGAAAAAUCCGGCUGAAGCCCAAUUGGUUUUCAGCCGGAUGUUAAUUAGACAGUCCCUAUUGUUUUGUUAAGUAGCCACACCGAUACUAGUUUACUAGGUAGCUAGGGCGAUCAACGGCAACGGCUAUUCCGUUUAAUAUUGUUUUGUCUCAAACGCCACCGGCCGCCGGCUUUGGUCGGCAAACUCAAGCAUAUGGUUCUGGAAUCAUGAAUGUAGAAAAUGUAGUUGCGUGCA